rnacentral:rRNA from 1 species
AUGGGCCGUCUCCGAUCUCGGGUCCUCCAACGGCACCCUCCUCAACGGCAAGCCCUCGUGCCCUCCGUUCCCGCCCCGCUUUCCCACGGGGACCUAAUCAAGGUCGGCGAUUCGACCGUGCUCGCCGUCUCCAUCGCGCCUGAUUCGGAUCCCAAGCCUGCCGCCAACCCCAGUUCCAGGCGCUCCUCGCGCCAGACGGCGGCGGUGGCACCGAUGGUGGCGGAGGAGAAGCCCCCUGCGGUGACCCGCCGUGGCGCACGGAAGAAAGCGCCGCCGGCCGCCCAGCACCCCGACACGCAGAAGGAAGAUCCACAGGCAGAGGGAGUGGCGGUGGAUGAGAAGCCCCAGGUGGUUACGCGCCGGGGAGGACGGCAGAAGCUGGCUGCAGCAGAGCCCCUAUUUGAGAUUGAGGAGACUGUGGAGGCGCCUCGCCGUGGAGAGCAGAUGAAGCCCGUGGAGCCUUCUGCACCAGAGAAUGAGGAGGUGGAUAAGGAGGAGGCCACGGCGGUGACGCGCCGUGGCAGACGGAAGAAUGCUGCGCAGGCCCCUGAACCAGAGAAGGCCACAGCGGUGACACGCCGUGGCAGGCAGAAGAAUGUUGUGGAGCCCUCAGAGAAGGAAAAGGAGGAGGCCACAGCGGUGACACGCCGUGGCAGGCAGAAGAAUGUUGUGGAGCCCUCAGAGAAGGAAAAGGAGGAGGCCACAGUGGUGACACGCCGUGGCAGGCAGAAGAAUGUUGUGCAGCUCCCUGAACCAGAGAAGGAAAAGGAGGAAGAGGCCACAGUGGUGACGCGCCGUGGCAGGCAGAAGAAUGUUGUGGAGCCCCCUAAACCGGAGAAGGAAGAGGAGGAGGAAGCCCCGGUGGUGACAAACCGCAGAGGGAGGAAGAAGAGUGUGGUGACGGACGCCCCUCCGCAAUUGCCUCCAAAGAUGAGGUCAGUAAGGGGCCGUGGCAAAAAGGCUAAUGCAAGCGACAUGGUUCUUGAGGAUGUGGAAGAGCAGGGAGGAAAUGAGUUGGCUGUAUCAAGAGUUCGUCCUGAGGACCUGCUCGUUUCGACGACAUUGAAGGGUGCUAAGGCGCAGAAGAGGGAUAAGGUGGCAUCUGGGGAUGGAGACGUAGAAGGGGCUGCAGUUUCAUUGGAGGAGAAAGUGCCGAAGGGGAGGGCCAGUGCUCGGCUUUCCGCUUUCGAUAAUGGUGCCAAUGCGGCUGCAGUGCCCAUUGAAGAGAUGGAGGAGGCUGUGGAUGCAACGCUCCGAGGGAGGCGGAAGAAGGCCGUUGAACCUCAUGAACCAGAGAAGGACGAGGAGGAGGAGACCAUGGUGGUGACACGUCGCGGGAGGCGGAAGAAGAACAUGGAACCUCAUGAACCAGAGAAGAAAGAGAAGGAGGACAAAGCCCCAGUGGUGAUCCACCAUGGCGCAACGAAGAAGAAUGAGGCGGCAGUUGCUCCUGUAUCACUGCCUCCAAAGAGGAAGUCUGCAAGGGGCCGGGGAAGGCCUACAAGGGCCAGUGCAAUGAACACAGUUCUUGAGGAGGAGGAGGAGCAGGGGGGAAAUAAGUUGAGUGCGUCAAGAGCACGCACAGGGAAGCCAUUGACUUCGACGACGGUGAAGAAGGGGGAUAAGGCAACAGCUGUGGAUGGAGAGGUCAAAAGAACUGCAAAGGCGUUGGAGGAGAAAUUACCAAAGAGGAGGGCCGUUAAGCUUGCUGCUAACAAUAUCUCUUAUGCGGCUGCAGCCGAGCCCACUGAAGAGAUGGAGGAGGCUACAGAAGCGUCUCACCAGGGGGGGCAGAAAGCCAUGGAGCACCCUGAACUAGAGAAUGAUGAGGAUGCAACCAUGGUGACAUGCCGUGGGGAGCGGAAGAGGGCUGCUGUGGUGAAGCGCCGUGUCGCCGGGAAAAAGGAUGUGGUGGCAGUGAUGAGGUCUGGAAGGGGGCGAGGAAGGGUUGGAAGGACUAGUGCAAGGAAUAACCUUCCUGAGGAAGGCAACAUGGUGGUAGAAAAGGAAAAUGAAUUGCCUGUGCCAAGAGAGCUGGCAGGGAAUCUGCCAGUUGCGACCGUGGUGAAUGGGGGUGAGGAUAGAGAAGUCAAAGGAACCAAAAAAGCAGUAGAGUCUGAAUUGCCAAAGGGGAGGGCCAGUGCCCAGUCUUCUUCCGACAACAAGUGUGAGGAGGAACAGGGUAGUGCGAACGGUUCUUCUAGAGUUGCCAGUGCCCAGUCUUCUUCCGGCAACAAGGGUGGUGCGAAUGGUUCUUCUAGAGUUGAUUCAGGAUCUAAUGGAAUCCCCAACACAACAAGCAAAUACAGAGAGGAUAGAAAACUGAAGCCGUACUCGACUCCCUUUGAUGUCAGACUGGAUAGAGCUCUGAAGAAAUACUCUGCAUGA